rnacentral:rRNA from 1 species
GGAAACCGGAGACUAAUACCGGAUAAUAUAUUGAACCGCAUGGUUCAAUAGUGAAAGACGGUUUUGCUGUCACUUAUAGAUGGAUCCGCGCCGCAUUAGCUAGUUGGUAAGGUAACGGCUUACCAAGGCAACGAUGCGUAGCCGACCUGAGAGGGUGAUCGGCCACACUGGAACUGAGACACGGUCCAG